GAAAGAUUGACGUUAAACAGCGCAGAUUACCAUCUCACACCUAACGACCGAGAUGACGGGAGCGCGCUGUGACUCCAGCAAGACUGCGAAGAUUUCCUGAAGACUGCGACUGUGAAAAUCGUUUGUAGUCUGCACCCGC